AUUCCAGCGACUGGGGGUGAUCAUGCCCUCCAGGGAACAUCUGGCAGUGCCUGGACACACUUUGGGUUGCCACGGCUGAGGGAGGGGUGCCCCUGGCAUCGGGUGGGCAGAGAGUGAUCCAACCCCAUGUCCACAGCGCCGAAGCCGAGAACCCACGCUUAAAGCAUUUCUCAAUGGACAGAAGUGACACACCUGGAAGAAGAGACCAGCGCGAAGUCAUCCACACCAACAAGGAACUCGUGCAGGACAGCAGGGCACGCACGGACCAUGGGCGCUGGCCGGCUGGCUUCAUCCACAAGCUGACGGACACCAUGAAACGGCCCCCAGCCUCCAGGAAGAGGAGCCUGCUCUCGGCAGCAAAG
ensembl:lncRNA